GUGCAGCAGGCGCGAAACCUCCGCAAUGCGGGAAACCGCGACGGGGGACCCCGAGUGCCGUGGCAAUGCUACGGCUUUUCCGGAGUGUAAAAAGCUCCGGGAAUAAGGGCUGGGCAAGGCCGGUGGCAGCCGCCGCGGUAAUACCGGCGGCCCGAGUGGUGGCCGCUAUUAUUGGGCCUAAAGCGUCCGUAGCCGGGCCCGUAAGUCCCUGGCGAAAUCCCACGGCUCAACCGUGGGGCUUGCUGGGGAUACUGCGGGUCUUGGGACCGGGAGAGGCGAGGGGUACCCCUGGGGUAGGGGUGAAAUCCUAUAAUCCCAGGGGGACCGCCAGUGGCGAAGGCGCCCCGCUGGAACGGGUCCGACGGUGAGGGACGAAGGCCAGGGGAGC
rnacentral:rRNA from 1 species